UACGAGAGGCCCAAACGUUAUUCGGAAUUACUGGGCUUAAAGAGUUCGUAGGCGGCGCAGAAAGUAGGGUGUGAAAGCCCUCGGCUUAACCGAGGAAUUGCGCUCUAAACUACUGUGCUUGAGGAAGCUAGAGGUGAGCGGAACUGAUGGCGGAGCGGUGAAAUGCGUUGAUAUCAUCAGGAACACCGGAGGCGAAGGCGGCUCACUGGGG
rnacentral:rRNA from 1 species